rnacentral:tRNA from 1 species
GCCCGGCUAGCUCAAUUGGCAGAGCGUGUGACUUUUGUGAGCAUUCCCCACCUCUUCAAUUUCCUUUCAAUUCGCUAACAAUUCCCACAGAAUACCACCAUAUCUUGAAAUCACAAGGUUCGGGGUUCGACCCCCGGUCGGGCA